CCCCAGAACCAAAAGAGAAGUUCUAAGUUCGUAUCUUCACCCCGCAGUCCCCGUCGUCUGUUCUUUUCCCUUCGGAAACCUAACUACCCGAGGAGACUCUAACUUAGAAGAAGAAGAAACGAGGAUAUUGAGUGAGUUUACAUCCUACUGGUUUUUGUUCAAGUUUAUAUCUGGUCACUAAAAAAUUGAUUUUGGAGACCAAAAUUGAACAUGUGAUUUGAUAUAUUGGUUAAGGUAGAAAUUGGGAAGGAAUAAUUUUGAUUAGUUUGAUUACAUGGAAGUGGUUUCUGAAUUCACUUCUUCAAACCUUUCUCUCUAUUAUUUUGCAAGACAAACCUAAGAGGAGAUCGAAGAAGAAGAAGAUAUCAAAUUAAAGGUCUCUGCAUUCUAAAACCGCUCUGAGACAGUUUCAAGGUUGAGCACAGACGUGUUUUCAUGACAAAAGUAAACAGUGCAUCAAGAACCGAAAAAUCAAAACAAUGGCGAUUGGUCAAUGAUGCUACAACUGCGCAAGAAAAGAAAAUGAAGUUUCCAAUAUACUAUAAGAAAGAAGAUUAGGAGAAGUUCAUUGAUAACAAAACUUCUGAAAAAUUGCAGAUAAAAUCUGAACAGGCAUCUAAAGCACAUCGGAAGUGAAGGCUCAAUAUACAGGUGGUAGGAAAGGUGUACCUAGAAGGUGGCUUGAAAUGUUAAAUUCUUAACACUAUAUAGCAUUUUUGAGCCAUUAUUCUUAACACUAUCACUGGCAGCUGCAAAACUAGCAUUGGUGAAGAAGGCAUAUGAUAAAGAUCCUUUAGCACAAAAGUGUUUGAGCACCGAUGCUGAUACCAAGAUAUUUGGCGUCGAUUGAAAGGGUUUACAUAUGCGGAUUGGGUGCAGGUGUCUAAAUCUCAAUUUCUUUUUCUUGAGUUUAUGAGGGCCAAGUUGCAGGAAGAGAAGAACAAUGUGGUGAAGAGAAGCAGAAAAACAAAGCUUCGAAAGCACAGUUGGAUGUUGAAAGACAGAAAAAUAAUACUGGAGUACAUUAUCAGAUAUCUAAUAGCGCUCUUACCAGCAGGACAUUGGGAUGCCAAUAGUACCCUCGUCGUUUGGUCUUUGCUUUUUGAGGAACUUAAGGAAAAAGCCGGUUGCAGUUGCAUAUGUCGACACUAAGGUGCUGACUGAUGACAGAGAUGAUGCUAUACUUCGGGAUGUUUCAAUAGGUGAGUGGCCAAAGGCCUAUGUGACUCCCCAAGGAGAGCGGUCAAGUUAGAGUGGUAGUGACAGUAGAUUGAUUACUUUUUUUUUUUUUUGUAAUUUUCAAAGGGUUGCAGGGAUGUCUUCCAAUUUGUAUUCGAAUAUUCUAUUUUCUCUAAUAAUAAAGUUAAUUUUAAAUUG